rnacentral:misc_RNA from 1 species
AACUGAUACUACCUGCGGGAACCUGCGGAGGGAUCAUUAACGAGUUUUGAAGUGGGAUUGAUGCUGGCCUUCCGAGGCAUGUGCUCGUCCUCGCUCAUCCACUCACAACACCUGUGCACUGUUGAGGUGUGGCCCCCCUUCAAUGGAGCCGUUCCCCCCCUAGGGGGUCGAGCCGGGGUCAGGCCUUCUUCGUCACAAACAACUUGUAAUGUCUAUUCGGAAUGUAAUGCUUCAUGUUAA